rnacentral:rRNA from 1 species
AGCGAACGCUGGCGGCAGGCCUAACACAUGCAAGUCGAACGGCAGCACAGUAAGAGCUUGCUCUUACGGGUGGCGAGUGGCGGACGGGUGAGGAAUACAUCGGAAUCUACUUUUUCGUGGGGGAUAACGUAGGGAAACUUACGCUAAUACCGCAUCCGACCUACGGGUGAAAGCAGGGGAUCUUCGGACCUUGCGCGAUUGAAUGAGCCGAUGUCGGAUUAGCUAGUUGACGGGGUAAAGGCCCAACAAGGCGACGAUCCGUAGCUGGUCUGAGAGGAUGAUCAGCCGCAUUGGAACUGGGACAGGGUCCAGACUCCUACGGGAGGCAGCAGUGGGGAAUAUUGGACAGUGGGCGCAAGCCUGAUCCAGCCAUACCGCGUGGGUGAAGAAGGCCUUCGGGUUGUAAAGCCCUUUUGUUGGGAAAGAAAAGCAGCAGGUUAAUACCCCGCUGUUCUGACGGUACCCAAAGAAUAAGCACCGGCUAACUUCGUG